rnacentral:rRNA from 1 species
GCAUAUCAAUAAGCGGAGGAAAAGAAACUAACCAGGAUUCCCCUAGUAACGGCGAGUGAAGCGGGAAAAGCUCAAAUUUGUAAUCUGGCGCCUUGGGCGUCCGAGUUGUAAUCUCGAGAAGUAUUUUCCGCGCUGGACCGCACAUAAGUCUGUUGGAAUACAGCGUCAUAGUGGUGAGAACCCCGUAUAGGGUGCGGAUGCCCAGUGCUUUGUGAUAUACUUUCGAAGAGUCGAGUUGUUUGGGAAUGCAGCUCAAAUUGGGUGGUAAAUUCCAUCUAAAGCUAAAUAUUGGCGAGAGACCGAUAGCGAACAAGUACCGUGAGGGAAAGAUGAAAAGCACUUUGGAAAGAGAGUUAACAGUACGUGAAAUUGUUGGAAGGGAAACGCUUGAAGUCAGACUUGCAUUUUGGAGUUCAGCCGCAAGGUGUAUUCUUCAAUUUGCAGGCCAGCAUCAGUUUUUGGGGGUGGAAAAGCGUGGUUUGAAGGUAGCAGUCUCGGCUGUGUUAUAGCUUUCCACUGGAUUCACUUUUGGGGACUGAGGAACGCAGUACGCUUUUUGCAAGAUUCUCGGAUCUUUCGUACUUAGGAUGCUGGUGGAAUGGCUUUAAACGACCCGUCUUG